rnacentral:rRNA from 1 species
AUGCAGUCGAACGCGAAAGUUCCCCUCGGGGAGCGAGUAGAGUGGCGCACGGCCNUUUUAACACGUAGGUAAUUUGCCUUUGGGUGGGGAAUAACUCAUGGAAACUUGAGCUAAUACCGCAUAAUGCAGCGGCUCGACAUCGAGACAGUUGUUAAAGCGGGGGAUUGGAGCAAUCCGACCUCGCGCCUGAAGAGAAGCCUGCGGCAGAUUAGCUAGUUGGUAAGGUAAUGGCUUACCAAGGCGACGAUCUGUAACCGGCCUGAGAGGGCGGUCGGUCACACUGACACUGACAUACGGGUCAGACUCCUACGGGAGGCAGCAGUCGGGAAUUUUGGGCAAUGGGCGAAAGCCUGACCCAGCAACGCCGCGUGAAGGAUGAAAUUUUUCGGAAUGUAACCUUCGCAAGAAUGGGAAGAAUAAGUGGGGGACAAUACCCCCCAUGAUGACGGUACCAUUUGUAAGCUCCGGCUAACUUCGUGCCAGCAGCCGCGGUAAUACGAGGGGAGCANGNGUUGUUCGGAUUUACUGGGCGUAAAAGGGCGCGUANGCNNCUCUACAANUCACUUGUGAAAUCUCCGGGCUUAACUCGGA